AGUAAAGUCAGCUAAUAAAGCCCUUAGGCCCAUACCCUGAAAAUGUGGGUUAAAAUCCCCCCUUUACUA
rnacentral:tRNA from 1 species